UACAGGGGGUGCAAGCGUUGUUCGGAAUUACUGGGCGUAAAGGGCGCGUAGGCGGUCUAGCAAGUCAGGUGUGAAAUCCCGGAGCUUAACUCCGGAAUUGCAUUUGAAACUGCUAGGCUAGAGUGCAGUAGAGGUUGGUGGAAUACCUAGUGGAGAGGUGAAAUUCGUAGAUAUUAGGUGGAACACCGGUGGCGAAGGCGGCCAACUGGGCUGUAACUGACGCUGAGGCGCGAAAGCGUGGGUAGCAAACAGG
rnacentral:rRNA from 1 species